AGCGAACGCUGGCGGCAGGCCUAACACAUGCAAGUCGAACGAACCCUUCGGGGUUAGUGGCGGACGGGUGAGUAACACGUGGGAACGUGCCUUUAGGUUCGGAAUAACUCAGGGAAACUUGUGCUAAUACCGAAUGUGCCCUUCGGGGGAAAGAUUUAUCGCCUUUAGAGCGGCCCGCGUCUGAUUAGCUAGUUGGUGAGGUAAUGGCUCACCAAGGCUACGAUCAGUAGCUGGGCUGAGAGGAUGACCAGCCACAUUGGGACUGAGACACGGCCCAAACUCCUACGGGCGGCAGCAGUGGGGAAUCUUGCGCAAUGGGCGAAAGCCUGACGCAGCCAUGCCGCGUGGAUGAUGAAGGUCUUAGGAUUGUAAAAUCCUUUCACCGGUGAAGAUAAUGACUGUAGCCGGAGAAGAAGCCCCGGCUAACUUCGUGCCAGCCGCCGCCGUAAAAC
rnacentral:rRNA from 1 species